rnacentral:rRNA from 1 species
AACGAACGCUGGCGGCAGGCUUAACACAUGCAAGUCGAGCGCCCCGCAAGGGGAGCGGCAGACGGGUGAGUAACGCGUGGGAACCUACCUCAUGGUACGGAAUAACUCAGGGAAACUUGAGCUAAUACCGUAUGUGUCCUUCGGGAGAAAGAUUUAUCGCCAUGGGAUGGGCCCGCGUCGGAUUAGCUAGUUGGUGGGGUAACGGCCUACCAAGGCGACGAUCCGUAGCUGGUCUGAGAGGAUGAUCAGCCACACUGGGACUGAGACACGGCCCAGACUCCUACGGGAGGCAGCAGUGGGGAAUAUUGGACAAUGGGCGCAAGCCUGAUCCAGCCAUGCCGCGUGAGUGAUGAAGGCCUUAGGGUUGUAAAGCUCUUUCACCCACGACGAUAAUGACGGUAGUGGGAGAAGAAGCCCCGGCUAACUUCGUGCCAGCCGCCGCUGUAAUAC